rnacentral:snRNA from 1 species
AUCGCCUCUCGGCCUUUUGGCUAAGAUCGAGUGUAGUAUCUGUUCUUAUCACUUUAAUAUCUGGUAUGUCCUUCACUUGUAGGACAAUAAAUUAGGCAAGCUUUUGGAGCUGGGAGGUGGAAUGUGAGCUUGCUUUAUUCUCUCCAUCCAUCGUUCUGGUAUUGCAGUAUUUCUAGAAAUGGUGUGUGGUUU